rnacentral:rRNA from 1 species
UACGAAGGGGGCUAGCGUUGCUCGGAAUCACUGGGCGUAAAGGGUGCGUAGGCGGGUCUUUAAGUCAGGGGUGAAAUCCUGGAGCUCAACUCCAGAACUGCCUUUGAUACUGAGGAUCUUGAGUACGGGAGAGGUGAGUGGAACUGCGAGUGUAGAGGUGAAAUUCGUAGAUAUUCGCAAGAACACCAGUGGCGAAGGCGGCUCACUGGCCCGGUACUGACGCUGAGGUGCGAAAGCGUGGGGAUCAAACAGG